AUUAUUUUGGCAGAUUAGUGCAAUGAAUUUAGAAUUCAUAUAUGUAAGUAUUUACAAAUAAUA
rnacentral:tRNA from 1 species